rnacentral:rRNA from 1 species
AGUGAACGCUGGCGGUAGGCCUAACACAUGCAAGUCGAACGGCAGCACAGUAAGAGCUUGCUCUUACGGGUGGCGAGUGGCGGACGGGUGAGGAAUACAUCGGAAUCUACUUUUUCGUGGGGGAUAACGUAGGGAAACUUACGCUAAUACCGCAUACGACCUACGAAUGAAAGUAGGGGAUCUUCGGACCUUGCGCGAUUGAAUGAGCAGAUGUCGGAUUAGCUAGUUGGCGGGGUAAAGGCCCACCAAGGCGACGAUGCGUAGCUGGUCUGAGAGGAUGAUCCGCCACACUGGAACGGGGACGCGGUCCAAGACCCGACGGGAGGCAGCAGUGGGGAAUAUAGGACAAUGGGCGCAAGCCUAACCCAGACAUACCGCGGGGGUGAAGAAGGCCUUCGGGUUGUAAAGCCCGUUUGUUGGGAAAGAAAAGCAGCAGGUUAAUACCCCGCUGUUCGGACGGUACCCAAAGAAUAAGCACCGGCUAACUUCGU